rnacentral:tRNA from 1 species
CGGAUGUAGCCAAGUGGAUCARGG